CAGUUUCCGUUGGACGAUGACUGCGGAGUAGCUUUUCCAGGUUGAUCGUAAUUUUUUAUACGAACUACCUCUAAAGAACUCACCACCUCCUCUAAGCAAUAAAGUUGACCAAUAUCGUUGCUACCUUCGAGAUAAGAGCUCUAUAAUAGAAGCUCAGGGUUAAGGUUUCCAAAGCUCCCUCCGAAAAUUUCCAAAAAUGUGCAGCGAUUUCAUUUUUCUUUUUCAAAAUGAAGUGCCUGCCUGUAUGGUGCAAUAAGUUUUGGAUGAAGGCCGAGGACACAAUCGGCGAAUUAUUUUAAUUCGAAACCAAUGUAUUAUUUACCAACCACAUUAACAACUAUAAAAUUUACAACUCGGCUUUUUUGGGUUUUCCUUUCCUGUCAUACUGAUUGAGCUCACUGGAUGCAUUCUCGGCGAUGAAUUUCACGAAAUCGUCGAGUUCCCGACCUCCUUGAUAAGCCACGGCCUUCUUGGUGCUCUUGGGCAACCAGAACAGAGUAGGGAACCCACGUACAUCGAACCCACUAGGCACGUCGUUGGCGGUGG